rnacentral:lncRNA from 1 species
CCAUUUUUGUUGCUACCACUGGCUUUACUCUCUUCACCUUGGAAGCUGUGUGUUGAAGAAGUCAGAGCCACUCCUUAGGGAAGGCAAGGUGAAUUUCAGUCUGAGACCAAAUAUUGGAAAACUUUUUGAUAGCCACGUUUGAAACUGUGAGGGAGCAGGCAACAGUAUAAAGUGGACAAGUAGAUAUUCCUAGGAAGUUGGUGCAGAAAAGAAGUUUUAGCCAAAGCAUGUAACAUAUUCACUCACCUCUUACCAGGAGAGUACUUGGGAAAUUGGAAAUACAGUGAUGGAUUUCUGGCCUGUAUGACGGGACGCAAUAAUGACAUCAUAAGGAACGGUAUCAAUAAGCCUGCAAGGAGCUAGAACUCAAGGUGACCAAGGUUGUCUGACUUGAAGCAAGUGAUUGAUGUUUUAGAAACUCAAGAUUCCUAUUUGUCUAAUGGUACUGGAGGACACAUUCGAAGGAAAUUUCCAAAAAAAAGAGUUAUGGAUCACAUAAUUUUCAUUUUGCUAUUAUGGUAUCGAUAAAGAAACUAUUUGUUCUACAGGGGUUGCAAACAUGGCUCAGUGGUAGAGGUAACCAAGCAUCCCGCAGAGGACCUGACUUCAGUUUCCAGGACCCACAUCAUGAAGCUCAGAAGCACCUGUACCUUCAGCUCCAGGGCAUCUGACACCCUCUUCUGAACUUCACAGGCACCUGUACUAAUAUGUGCACAAACCACACACAAACAUACACAAAAACCAUAGUCACUCAGUUCAGAGUGGGGACUCAUGAUCUUGUGCUGCUAGCCACAGCUGGUUGUAAAAGAACUGCAACAGUUUGCAUAUUUUUCUGUCAUCUUGUUAGUAGUUGCCUUGAUGUCACUCUGCAUAUUAUACACAUUUAUCCAUUUGCUGGGCUUCUAAUGCUUUUCAGUCUGGAAAGCCUGAGGUAAUGAAGGACUGUGGAUUCCAUCACAAUUGAUAAAAAUCCAAUCCAAGGAAGAGAACCUUCCACAUGAAAAGCAUGACUAAAGGAAGGAAAAGUUUCAGAAAGACAGCAGAACAGGUGAUGCAGAAAAAACUGAUAUGUCCCACCUGCAUGCGUAAUGGGGACAGCUCAACAAAUAGGAAGAAAAUGGACAGCUUGUUCAUCAGAUUGGCCGAUUGGAAAACCUUAAUGCUCUAGUGGACAAUUGCUGAAGGAAGAUGAUCAGUACUGCAAUUAUGAAGGGUCA